GCGAUCGUGGUGAACUCGGCGGACACGUCGGUCUUCCAAACCGAAGAAGAGGGUUCGAUGCCCUCCGGUCGCU
rnacentral:tRNA from 1 species